rnacentral:tRNA from 1 species
GCCCAGGAAGCAAAGCGCCUGCGCGCUUUGCGGGAGGCCUCGAAAGGCCUGGCUUGCAAGCCAGGCCGGGGUCGCGCCGGCGUGACCGAGUCCCCUCCUGGGCACCA